CAGUGUGUUAGCACAGCAACAGAGAAUCAAAGAAGGAUGGCCCCACCUCCUGAAGGUCUCACCACCUCCCAGAACUGCCACUCUGGAGCGCAAGCCAACAAUACAGAGACUUUCGAGGGUCACUCAAACCCAGACUAAAGCAACAAUUCUAUGGCAGUGCAUAAAUAUCAUUUCUCUUUUACUGGCAGUUUUCUCUUCCAGAGGACGUCAGAAACUGUCCUGGAAAUGCAGAGACCAGGCCUUUGUAAGGAGAGGAUCUUAGAGCUCUCUCACACACACACACCCACCGCCCUGUUUUGCAGGCCCACCCCCUGCUGUCUGGUCCAUCAGGUCUGGACCACAUCCAUUUUCUGGACCCUCAUCACUCACUCCCCAUACAUACACGUAUUUUCCUUCUUUCAUUGAAAUAUUUUUUCUUUCAUGUUUAAUUAUUUGUACGAGUGUGAGCUCUUGCACAUGAGCACAGUGUUUGUGGAAGGUAGACGAGGGUACCAGAUCCACCUGUAGAGUUUGCAGGCCGGAAGCCUCUUCACGUGGGUGCUUGGGUCUGAACCUGGGUCCUUUGGAAGAGCUGUGAGUCCUCUUCAUCACUGAGCCCUCCCUAUGCCCUCACCUUUAACUUGCAAACAAUACAGACACCACCUCUGAAAGUGUGUGAAAGGGCACACCCAGCCCAGCACUCGGAACCCAGCAGAGCCCUUGCCUCGGGGUUCACCAGCUGACGUCUGGUGCCUGUGUGCAGUGUCUUGCAGUCUCCGUCACCCCCCAGGCUAUAGGCUCCCUGAAGAUGGACUGUUGUGCAGGUACAUCCUCAAGACAGCACCAUGCACACUGUGAAGGCGGCCUACAGACCUCUGUUGGCUGGGCAGCCGUGCCAUGCUGAAAGGUCGGAGCAAGCUUGUGUCAAUCAGCUCGUCUGGUCCAUUUUUUGUGAAACUGUAAAAAGUCUUUAAAAGGGUUGGCAAACUCCCCAAGAAGUUCUAAAGCUGUUGGAGACACACUGAUCCUGUCCACCAGUGCAGUAAGGGGGGAGAAAAUAGGCUACUUUUGUCUUUAAAUAUACACUGCAGCCUGACAUUCUUUGUGGAGAUUUCUAUAUAUAGAACCAUCUUAUUUAAGGCUAUGUUAGGCCAUCAAACCCCAAGUUCUCAUUUCUCUGUAUGGUGUGUCUCAACUACCAGUGGCAUGAUGCUCCCUCUUAGUCUGAUCACCCUGUGGACAAGGCUCACCUUCCCCAAGGCACACGUUCCCUCUGUGAGGCAGUAACCUUUUCAAUAUGGAGUAACUGAAUCCGAUAGCACUUCUGAGGAGCUAAAUAAGAAGACAGUUUGCUUUUCUCAAACAGUACAAGGAUGGGGACAGGGAAUGGACCUUAACUUGACCUUCAUUCAUUCUGCCCCGACACUUCACAUUUCCUAGUGGCAGGCACUUCCUUACACUCUGUGAAGCUCAGAGAGGAGUGUCUGACUUGCCUGGUGUCACUCUCCUGAGAGCAGGGGGGCAGGACUCGGCCUGGUCAGCAGGGGUAACCCCUUCUGGAGUCAGUUUCAACUGUUAAAUAUGAGUAAUGUUAGUGGAGGCAAUCCUGACCCCUCGGCUUAUUUCUGCUCCUGGACGGAAUUUAAUUGUGAGGUUCAGAGACAUCACGCCCAUCCCACUCCGGAACGAAAUGAAAACCCUGUCAAACUGGCACAGAGCUCCACACGUUCCUGACAGCCUUUGGCCCUCCUGAAUGGAAUCCGGACUCUUCUACUGCUCUCCUUCCUCAGGAAUCACUUCUGACAAGUCUUCCUCCAGCCCAGCCACAGGGUUUUGCUGACAAUAAUUUAUCCCUAAGGCCAUUGUUAGCUCAUAUGGCCCGUGUGUCAAUCAGAGAAAGAUACCGUUUCAUAUUGGUGAGUCAGGAAAGAUGAAAUAACGUUAAGGACAUCUUUUUUUAUUCAAUUUAGAAAGAAAAUCAGGGCCAGAAGGACCCUUAUCUCCCCUCAUGGCAGACCCAUACCUGUAACAUGAGAGAAGAGGCAAAUUUGACGCUCCCAAAACCUGUUGCUUAGUCUGGUUGCAAGAUGAAUCUUGUUAACAGUUUUCCUUCAGGACAAAAUCUUCCAAGCAGAGGAGCCAGGUCAACAAUCUGUGUAAGAAACAGGUCUUUUGUCCUCCAAGUGCGUGAUCUACAGGUUGCCAGCUAUUCAUUGAUUGCUUCCGUUUUAAAGUCAGUUGGUUGAUUGACAGUGAUGACGAUGCUCAUCCUGGAUUCUCGGGGAAAACAAGAGUGAAGUGCCCCAAUACUUCCUCUCUCCUUGUGUGUGAGGCCACCGAGAAGAGCACCUGCAGCCUGUCCCUGCUGCAUACCCUUGUGGAAGGGACAGAAGAAGCAAGGAAAGAGAGAUGCUUGCUGCAAAUGUCUCAGUGGUCCUCUGAAAAUGCAGUCCGGAGGCCUUCGUCCCUGGCCUUGGCUGAAUUGGUAAUGGAGCUCGUCCUCC